UAACGUUAUCCCAACGUUGCCAGCAUUCCAGCUCCAACGUUUCUCAUCCAAGAAUCUCCCAGCGCUUUUCCAAAUGUGAAUUCAUUUCCUCUCGGUCCGGGGAGGCACCUUUUAUCAUCAGCAUCCUCAUUUCCCCGGGGAGGCGUCCUCGGAGCGUUUCAUCCCGCCGAUUCGGGAAAAAACUGGAGCUGUUUUUGGGAUUGAUCCAACAAUUCCCGCCUCCCGUUUUCCCAGCUUUGCUGCCCGACCACAUUCCCGGCCUGGGAGUGGGGUGUGACACUCGGCUCCUUUAUUGGUGGCGCUUAAAAAAAUCCAGACAACCUUCAUGAACCCCACCCAGGGCAGGGGAGGAAAGGAAACUUCCAAAUCAGGAUGGUCCCGGCCGGGAAUCCAGGAAUUUUCAGGAUUUUGGAUGUGCAGGAUGAAAUCUGGACCAGAUGUUGAGUCAGAAUCUUGGAAUUUUUAUAUAAAAUAUGAUUAAAAGGGAAAUAUUUCCUGGAACGCAGCAGAGGUGAAGGUCUGAGCUGAAGGAAAGGAAACUCUUCCAAAUCAGGAUGAUCCCAGCCAGGAAUCCAUGAAUUUUCAGGAUUUUGGAUAUGCAGGAUGAAAUUUUGAUGUGAUGUUGAGUCAGAAUCUCAUAAUUCUUAUUUAAAAUACGAUUAAAAUGGAAAUAUUUUCUCAAAUAUUCUUCUUCCUUCUCGUGCUGCAUCCGCAGGUGAAGAUCUGAGCUGAAGGAAAUGAAACUCUUCCAAAUCAGGACGAUCCCAGCCAGAAAUCCACCGAUUCUUGGGGUUUUUGAUGUGCAGGCAGAAAUCUUGACAGGAUGUUGAGUCAGAAUCUUGGAAUUUUUAUUUAAAACACGAUUAAAAUGGAAAUAUUUCCUGGAAUGAAGCAGAGGUGAAGUUCACAACUUCUCCCAAAAGUCCCCUCCCCAGUCCAGAGGGGAGUGAGCGUCGAGCCGAAACGAAAAGAGGAUUUGGAGCCAGCGUGACGUGACGGCAGCUUGGAACAACGAGGAGUUCCAAAAUAGCGCUAUUGACUGCUGGAAAAACAACAUCCAUAUAAUUUGCAGCUUUUUGGCCAAUCUGAAGCUUCUGGAGGAGCUGAUAUUUUAUCUUUUGCCUGGCUUUGAAUUCCUCAGCUCCUCAGGACCUGCCCUGGUUGUUUUUUACUCUUCCUCCUUGUGCUGCGUCCACAAAUGAUGAAAAUUGGUGCUAAUGACCAAAAAAAACCCCCAAAAAAAUCCCAAUGGUGAUUCAUGGAAAUGGAAUUUUGUUGACAAAAAGAAAAGUGGAUUUAACUCAGCCAAAGGAAAUGCUUUUCCAACUGGGGAGGAAUAUCUGAGGAACGACCAUUUCUUCUCCGAGACAGAACUGUCCCAGCUUGAAUUCACAAAAUAAACGGAAUAAUUCAAAUGAGAGCCUGGAGAAAAGCGACCAGAUCCACCCAAAACGGGCGCUUUUGCCAGGGAAAAGACCCAAAAGUGGAUUUUGGGUGGGUGAAAUGAAGGAUGGAAUUCUGACAUUCCAGGAUGGAAUUCUGACAUUCCAGGCUGGGAAUUCUGACAUUCCAGGAUGGGAAUUCUGACAUUCCAGGAUGGAAUUCUGUCAUUCCAGGCUGGGAAUUCUGACAUUCCAGGAUGGGAAUUCUGACAUUCCAGGAUGGAAUUCUGACAUUCCAGGAUGGGAAUUCUGACAUUCCAGGAUGGAAUUCUGACAUUCCAGGCUGGGAAUUCUGACAUUCCAGGAUGGAAUUCUGACAUUCCAGGAUGGGAAUUCUGACAUUCCAGGAUGGAAUUCUGACAUUCCAGGCUGGGAAUUCUGACAUUCCAGGAUGGAAUUCUGACAUUCCAGGAUGGGAAUUCUGACAUUCCAGGAUGGAAUUCUGACAUUCCAGGCUGGGAAUUCUGACAUUCCAGGAUGGAAUUCUGACAUUCCAGGAUGGGAAUCUGGGCUUGGAAUUUUGUCAUUUCCACAGCACAGGCAGGAAAGUUUAUUUUCUAAGCAGCAGCCCUCGUUUGGGCUCGGUUUGGGAGAGAAUGGGAACUUUAA